rnacentral:rRNA from 1 species
UAGAGUUUUGAUCAUGGCUCAGAUUGAACGCUGGCGGCAGGCCUAACACAUGCAAGUCGAACGGUAGCACAGAAGAGCUUGCUCUUUGGGUGACGAGUGGCGGACGGGUGAGUAAUGUCUGGGAAACUGCCUGAUGGAGGGGGAUAACUACUGGAAACGGUAGCUAAUACCGCAUGAUGUCGCAAGACCAAAGUGGGGGACCUUCGGGCCUCACGCCAUCGGAUGUGCCCAGAUGGGAUUAGCUAGUAGGUGGGGUAAUGGCUCACCUAGGCGACGAUCCCUAGCUGGUCUGAGAGGAUGACCAGCCACACUGGAACUGAGACACGGUCCAGACUCCUACGGGAGGCAGCAGUGGGGAAUAUUGCACAAUGGGCGCAAGCCUGAUGCAGCCAUGCCGCGUGUGUGAAGAAGGCCUUCGGGUUGUAAAGCACUUUCAGCGAGGAGGAAGGCGAUAGUGUUAAUAGCACURUCGAUUGACGUUACUCGCAGAAGAAGCACCGGCUAACUCCGUGCCAGCAGCCGCGGUAC